rnacentral:rRNA from 1 species
GACGAACGCUGGCGGCGUGCCUAAUACAUGCAAGUAGAACGCUGAAGGAGGAGCUUGCUUCUCUGGAUGAGUUGCGAACGGGUGAGUAACGCGUAGGUAACCUGCCUGGUAGCGGGGGAUAACUAUUGGAAACGAUAGCUAAUACCGCAUAAGAGUAGAUGUCGCAUGACAUUUGCUUAAAAGGUGCAAUUGCAUCACUACCAGAUGGACCUGCGUUGUAUUAGCUAGUUGGUGAGGUAACGGCUCACCAAGGCAACGAUACAUAGCCGACCUGAGAGGGUGAUCGGCCACACUGGGACUGAGACACGACCCAGACUCCUACGGGAGGCAGCAGUAGGGAAUCUUCGGCAAUGGACGGAAGUCUGACCGAGCAACGCCGCGUGAGUGAAGAAGGUUUUCGGAUCGUAAAGCUCUGUUGUAAGAGAAGAACGAGUGUGAGAGUGGAAAGUUCACACUGUGACGGUAUCUUACCAGAAAGGGACGGCUAACUACGUG